AACGAACGCUGGCGGCAGGCUUAACACAUGCUAGUCGAGCGCCCCGCAAGGGGAGCGGCAGACGGGUGAGUAACGCGUGGGAAUCUACCCAUCUCUACGGAAUAACGCAUGGAAACGUGUGCUAAUACCGUAUACGUCCUUCGGGAGAAAGAUUUAUCGGAGAUGGAUGAUCCCGCGUUGGAUUAGCUAGUUGGUGGGGUAAAGGCCUACCAAGGCGACGAUCCAUAGCUGGUCUGCGAGGAUGAUCAGCCACACUGGGACUGAGACACGGCCCAGACUCCUACGGGAGGCAGCAGUGGGGAAUAUUGGACAAUGGGCGCAAGCCUGAUCCAGCCAGGCCGCGUGAGUGAUGAAGGCCCUAGGGUUGUAAAGCUCUUUCACCGGUGAAAAUAAUGACGGUAACCGGAGAAGAAGCCCCGGCUAACUUCGUGCCAGCCGCCGCGGUAAGAC
rnacentral:rRNA from 1 species